GGAGGUGUAGCUCAGUGGUAGAGUGCAUGCAUAGCGUGCACAAGGUCCUGGGUUCAAUCCCCAGUACCUCCA
rnacentral:tRNA from 1 species